rnacentral:rRNA from 1 species
UACGGAGGGUGCAAGCGUUGUCCGGAAUCACUGGGCGUAAAGGGCGCGUAGGCGGCUCAUGAAGGCUGUGGUGAAAGUCCGGGGCUCAACCCCGGGUCGGCCGUGCGAACUAUCGAGCUGGAGCACUGUAGAGGCAGGCGGAAUUCCGGGUGUAGCGGUGGAAUGCGUAGAGAUCCGGAAGAACACCGGUGGCGAAGGCGGCCUGCUGGGCAGUUGCUGACACUGAGGCGCGACAGCGUGGGGAGCAAACAGG